CGACCCUAACCAUUUCAAAUCUCAACUUCAACUACAUAGGGGAGUCACAAGGACGAUGCAGAUAUUAUCGAGGAAAUGAGGCGCGCAGCACACGUUGAUAUCUUCUAACAACAAAAACAUUUGCAAACAUGUAAGGCAUGUACUUCUCCUGAUAUUGACGUGGGAGGAGCUGCCGUUUAUAAUACCCAGCAUGCUUGAGGAGUAGAGGAAAGUCCUGGGAGAUAUGAACACCAUCAUUCUUUCACAGGACCUUUGCCGAUCCCUUGGCUUGCAUCAGGGGGCAAAGUCAUUAGUGGCGAAAUGAGCUCAAGUGAAGAGAACGAGAUUGCUGGGCUCCCAGCGUGGUUUGAAACUUUACCACACAGUGCAUUCUAAUUUGAAUUUAAUUCCCAAUGUACAGUAUGUGUGUGUAAUAAAGACAAUUAUAAAAACAUAUAUUUAGGCUUAUACAAUGCUAUUUUUAUU